UAUGACGCUGGCGGCAUGCUCUACCGUUCAAGUCGAACGGUAACAGGUCUUCGGAUGCUGACGAGUGGCGAACGUAGUAAUACAUCUGGAACGUGCCCGAGAGUGGGGGAUAACGAAGCGAAAGCUUUGCUAAUACCGCAUACGAUCUCAGGAUGAAAGCAGGGGACCGCAAGGCCUUGCGCUCACGGAGCGGCCGAUGGCAGAUUAUGUAGUUGGUGGGAUAAAAGCUUACCAAGCCGACGAUCUGUAGCUGGUCUGAGAGGACGACCAGCCACACUGGGACUGAGACACGGCCCAGACUCCUACGGGAGGCAGCAGUGGGGAAUUUUGGACAAUGGGCGCAAGCCUGAUCCAGCCAUGCCGCGUGCAGGAUGAAGGCCUUCGGGUUGUAAACUGCUUUUGUACGGAACGAAAAGACUCUGGUUAAUACCUGUGGUCCAUGACGGUACCGUAAGAAUAAGACCCGGGUAAACUACGUGCCAGAAGACGCGGUAAUACGUAGGGUUGCGAGCGUUAAUCGGAAUUACUGGGCGUAAAGCGUGCGCAGGCCGGUUAUGUAAGACGGAUGUGAAAUCCCCGGGCUCAAACUGAGAACUGCAUUUGUGACUGCAUAGCUAAAGUACGGCAGAGGGGGAUGGAAUUCCGCGUGUUACAGUGAAAUGGGUAAAUAUGCGGAGGAAACCGAUG
rnacentral:rRNA from 1 species